CAGUCGCCGCGGUAACACGUAGGGUGCGAGCGUUAAUCGGAAUUACUGGGCGUAAAGCGUGCGCAGGCGGUUUUGUAAGACAGGCGUGAAAUCCCCGGGCUCAACCUGGGAAUGGCGCUUGUGACUGCAAAGCUAGAGUGCGGCAGAGGGGGAUGGAAUUCCGCGUGUAGCAGUGAAAUGCGUAGAUAUGCGGAGGAACACCGAUGGCGAAGGCAAUCCCCUGGGCCUGCACUGACGCUCAUGCACGAAAGCGUGGGGAGCAAACAGGAUUAGAUACCCCCGUAGUCCCUGUCUCUUAUAA
rnacentral:rRNA from 1 species